rnacentral:lncRNA from 1 species
GAGGCACUCGUGUUAUAGUGUAACCAAUAUAUGUUUGGUUUAUGGGUUUAUGAAAAGACCACGGAUAUGUAACAGUUGGAAAAUUAUAUAUAGCAUAUGAAGAUGUAAAUACCAAGCUUUUCAUUAUAACGGUUGAUAAUUGAUAGUACUUUAUAAACAUAAGGGAAUUUGACACGACUGAGACAAAUAUCAACCAAUGGCAAGGAUGCAAACAUUGAUAUAUAUCAAAUUUGUUACCAUAAGUCAUCCGAUGUAAAAAAAAAAAAAGUAAAUUCACAAAAAUACCAAACUCCGAGGAUAAUUCAAAAUGAAAAUUUCCCCAUCAAAUGGCAAAAUCAAAAGCUCAAACAUAUCAAACGAAUGACUUAAUAUACAGACAUUUCCUUAUAUAGAAAAUCGUGGAUUAAACCUGAUUCUAUAGCUAGCUAAACCUCUCACUUGUAAGUCAGUUGCAUAAUACACCAUCAUAUUGACAACGAUGUGUGACCAAAAUGAACAGACAUAGAAGGUAAAAAAGUCAAAAUAGGGGUACAGCAGUCAACAUUGUGUUAUAAUCUGAAUCACAACAAAAAACAAGCAAAUAUGUCAACAAAGAUAAACAAAAAGGAAAAAGACAAGGCACAGUAGCAUAAACGAAAGACAGGAAUACAAAAAAAUAACCAUACCCCAAUAACACAAUGACAGGAUGUAUACUGAGUACCGAGCUACGCCAAAUGGAUAUUGCCAAAAUAUAGACUAAUCAUUUAUGAAGAUAAAUAAAAUAAUACUACAAC